UUUAUUGUUGGUUCCUGGUUGCUGUAGUGCAAUGAUGACAUCUGCUGGCCGUGCCGCGCAAUAGCGUCACAACAUAUGUAAUUUCACUGGACAUUACGGCCCAUGACAUCACUGAAGACAAAUGGUGCCGUGAACGUUACUCACAAUCUUUGUGAAUCUGUGGCCGGCCGAUGCUUCUGCUAUGGCUCCACUGGUCAUGUGAUCCUGGAAGAUGCUGUCUAUGGAGUUGAUGAAGCUGGACUUCCCUGCUCCCACUGGACCAUGAACCAGGAUAUGGAGAUGCUUCACAUCUGGAGUGCUGAUUUGAAAUCUCUUUAAAUGGUCUAUCAUCUCAUCCUUUGUGUUGUGUAUUUAAACAUUGAUGGGUCUGAUGAA